CCGGGGGGGUGAGAGUCACUGGUCGUGGAUUCGAUCCUCAGCCAUUCAUUGCCAAGUCAACUCCGGCGGUGCAACGCGGAGGGAAAGGAGCGAGAGAGAGAGUAGCAAGUAGCAGCAGGAGAUAGAGAGAGGAGAGGACAAGGGGUAGUGAUAGAGACAGCGAGAGAGAGAGACGGAGAGAGGCAGAGAAGAAAGAGAAGGCGGAGGAGGAGAAUAAUGGCAGGCGGCGUGGUUCUGUCGGCAAAGAAUGCGGCCACCUCGAUUCUGAGGUUGACGUCGCAGGCGGCGAAAGUGCUGCCCAGGCUGGGCAACGUCGCGUCGGCGAGAUGCCUGAGUUCGUCGUUCAAGGCGUCCGACUUA